GACGAACGCUGGCGGCGUGCUUAACACAUGCAAGUCGAGCGAUGAAGUUCCUUCGGGAAUGGAUUAGCGGCGGACGGGUGAGUAACACGUGGGUAACCUGCCUCAUAGAGGGGAAUAGCCUUCCGAAAGGAAGAUUAAUACCGCAUAAGAUUGUAGUCCCGCAUGGUAUAGCAAUUAAAGGAGUAAUUCGCUAUGAGAUGGACCCGCGUCGCAUUAGCUAGUUGGUGAGGUAACGGCUCACCAAGGCGACGAUGCGUAGCCGACCUGAGAGGGUGAUCGGCCACAUUGGGACUGAGACACGGCCCAGACCCCUACGGGAGGCAGCAGUGGGGAAUAUUGCACAAUGGGGGUAACCCUGAUGCUGCAACGCCGCGUGAGUGAUGACGGUCUUCGGAUUGUAAAGCUCUGUCUUCAGGGACGAUAAUGACGGUACCUGAGGAGGAAGCCACGGCUAACUACGUGCCAGCCGCCGCUGUAA
rnacentral:rRNA from 1 species